rnacentral:lncRNA from 1 species
UCAUCGUUAUUUUCAUGUUAUUAGUUGAAUAAAUCGAAAAGUAAACGCAUAAACACAAAAUACUUUUCAAUUCAAAGCUCCAUUUCAAUUUUUUUCAAUAUUCAUCACAUGUUUCUUACAAAAAAUAAAAAAUAAGAUAAAAUAAAAUAUUCGUUCACAUGUUGAUUUCUCAUACAUGUAGCAUGUAAGAAAACAAAGAAACAAUGGAAGCCCCAACCAAUGAUCCAAGAACAGGCAAGGUUGAGGCAGCCACGCUGGAAUCUGGUCCUGAUGCUGGGGCGGAAGCAGGAGAGGAGCUAGGACUAGAACCACCGGCGGAAGGGGAAGGAGCAGGUGCACCGGCAGCCAUGACGGCGCUCAUUGAGGCAGCAGCAACAAUGAUGGCGGUGGAGACCUUCUUCAUGUCCAUGGCGUAUAAAUGGAUUAUUAAACGCACCGGAAAUGAACGAGACCUGCGUUUAAUUGCUGGAGAAUGGGGAUCCGCCGGUGAUUGUUAUUAUUUGCUUUGUUAUUGCAGGUCUGAAGAACAAUGAUGUUGGGGAGGAUCUUUUAUAGGUGAAAAUUCAUAGCUAUUUUUAGUGAUGAAAUUUAAAAAUCAAAUUACGUGUUUGGUUUUCGCAUGGUUUGCGGGAUAGACAUGCAAAUUUUUUAAUAUUCUUAACUAUUUUAAGAUAAUGCGAUUUUAAAAUUUAAGUUUGAAUGAUAAUUAAUUUUUAUUUAAAUUUAAUUAAAUUAUUUGAAUAUAUUUUAUUUUUAAAAUAAAAAAUUUAAUUUGGACCGAUAUGAUUCUUUUACGAAAUUUUAAUGGUAAAGUAAAGCAAGACGAUUCUAAUCAUUUAUAUGUAAAUAUUAUAUCAUAAAAUGUAUUAAAAAAUAUUAUAUAUUAUGAUAAAUGGUUGGAUGGUAAAUUUUAUUGAGAUGAAUAUAGGACUAUAAAUGUAAAAUUAUUAGUUAACUUUCCAUAUUUGGGGAAGAUUGAAUUUCGGUUCUUUUAUUAAAAAAAUAAAUAAAUUAAUUUUUAUAUAUUUUGAAAUAUACAAAUUAGCUCAUUCGUUAAAUUUUAUCUAUUAAAUGAUGACGUGAAUGGUUAAAUAUAUGUUGAAAAUUAUCUUUUACGGGUAUAUAAAAAGAGUCACCUAAUUAUGUCUUUGUUCUAUUUUAGUUACCCAACCAAGAAUUCGUUUGGAUUUAAGUUUACCUUCAGUGUGGCACGAUUUUGGCACUUUAUUGCCCAAUCGUGUUGCAAUCAAUCACUAGGAUGCAUAAAUGGGAUUCAAUUUCAUUGCACUGAGCUUUACUUUUUUAGUUUUGGCGGAUUACAACUCCACUAACUUUUUCUUUCCUCUUGUAUCUAGACCUAAUCAUUGGCCAAGCCACCCGGCCCGAAGACUCACUCAAAAAGUAAAAGUAUUUGUGCAAAAAUAUAGGCUCGAAAAAUAGGUUUUUGCAAAAAAAAACAAGGCCUACUUUCUAAACAAGUUGCAUUGGGCAAGCUUUUUUUGCCCUAGCCUCGGCCCAAUCCAACUUUGUAAAAAAAAACCUACUGCUUUUUGCUGCUAUUGCACUAUUUUUGCAGUUGUUUUGUCACUGUUUUGGUAUCGUUUCGCUAUUAUAUUACUAUUAUUUUGUUCUUAUUAAUUGGAUAUUGUAUAACUCUUAUUUUAUUGUUAAUUUUGCUACUAUUUUAGAGAAUUUGCUUGCUAAGUUGUACCUAUCUUAGUAUUAUUAUAAAUUAUUUUUUAAUUUAUUUUCAAUUAGCUGAGAAACAUUAAUUUUAAUACAGACAGGGCGGGUCAGGCUCAAGUUUUAACAUUUUUAUUCAAGCCAAAUUUGGACAAAAUUUUAAACUUAUUUUUUAAGUUGGGCCAAAAAACGGAUCAAAAAUUCUAUUGAAGCCUGAACCAUGAUUAACUCUAUUUGUAUCCGUGCACCAUUUGUUUUAUAUCCAUACUCCUUAUGCCAUGUUCAUUCUUCUUUUUUUUUUUUGUUUAUUUCUCUUUUAAUAAAUUAAAUAAUUUUUUUAUUUUUUAAUAAAUUAAUGUAUAUUUAUCAUUUAAUAUAAUAAAUUAUUUUAAAUGAUUAUAAAUUAAUUAAUUAAAAUAUUUAUAAAAAUAUUAUGAUACAUGUUAUUAUUUUAUUAAAUAAAAUUACAACUUCACAUAUUUUAAUAAUUUCAUAAAAAUAAAAUAAUUUACAACUUCUAUUAUAUAUUAUUUCUAAUAAUGAUAAAGAAAAUUAUUUCCAACUUAAUAUCCUCACAUCACCGUUACAGCUAUGUUUGAAUUCAAGCACAUACCCAAUCACUAUUUUUAACCUCAUCGGAGCGAAUUCAGGAUGGGUUGGCAGGGCAUCGGCCUCCCCUAAAAUAAAAUUUUUUUCAUUUAGCUCUUUUUAUAAUUUUUAAAAUUUUAAAUUAACAAUAAUAAAAUUAUACUUUGUCCCUUCAAAAUGAUAAAAAAUUUAUUUAAUCUUUUAAUAUUUUCAUGUUUAAAAUUUAAAAAGUUAAUUCAACUACUUUAAAAAGAUUUUCCAACUUCAACCCACAUUUAUCUAAUUACAUAGUAGUUAUUAGUUCAAUAAUUCAUUGUUAUUUUCAAGUUAUUCAUUGUUUUGAAUAAAUCUAAAAGUAAAAGUAUAAACACAACAUACUUUCCAAAGCUCCAUUUCAAUUUUUUAAUAUUCAUCACAUGUUUCUUACAAAAUAAAAAAUAAAAUAAAAUAUUCGUUCACAUGUUAAUUUUUCAUACAUGUAGCUUACUGCAGCAUGCAAGAAAACAAAGAAACAAUGGAAGCCCCAACCAAUGAUCCAAGAACAGGCAAGGUUGCGGCAGCCACGCUGGAAUCUGGUCCUGAUGCUGGGGCGGAAGCAGGAGAGGAGCUAGGACUAGAACCACCGGCGGAAGGGGAAGGAGCAGGUGCACCGGCAGCCAUGACGGCGCUCAUUGAGGCAGCAGCAACAAUGAUGGCGGUGGAGACCUUCUUCAUGUCCAUGGCGUAUAAAGGGAUUAUUAAACGCACCGGAAAUGAAUGAGACCUGCGUUUAAUUGCUGGCGAAUGGGGAUCCGCCGGUGAUUGUUAUUAUUUGCUUUGUUAUUGAUGGUCU